rnacentral:lncRNA from 1 species
CGUGGAGGGGGAUGGGGAGCAGGCUGGGCCGCGGGGUUUCGUGUGGGCCGGCUGCUGGGCUUGGCAAGGCUCCUGCGCGAGUUGGGCCGAGCGAGGUGGAUGGGCCAAGAAGCCAGGCCGGGUGGGUGGUGCAGGCCACGCAAGGGUGCUGGGCUGGUGCAAAGCGAGCAGGCCGGCUGGGCUAGAGAAGAAGGAAGGUUUUUCCAUUUUUGGAUUAAGCACAAAGGAAUGUCACAAGAUGGAUUCAAAGAGGGGAUUUAGGAAGGGAACCAAGUAGGUGAGAAAGAUCACAAAGGGUUAGAAAGGAGUUUGGAAGGAAUUCAAAGGAGUUUGAGACGUCCUCCAAUAGAAAGGUUGAGAAGGGAUUCGCUUCGCCUUUGAGAUAGGCUCAACGGAGAUUCGGGAAGACUUUGCUACAGAUUUUGCACUCCAAAAGAAACUCAAAACCAUAAACAAGACCCAACUUAAGACGACUCACGAACAAGAGCACUCGUCUACGAACAAUUCUAAAUGAAUGGGACGUUUUGUUAGCGGGUUAAGAUCGAGUUAGAUCUAAAAACUAUAUGCUUCUCAUGAUCACAGGAAAAAUUUUAAAAAGCUCGUAUUUUUGGUUUUCGUAAAAAUCCAGGAUGUUACACUGCAAUUAUAAAUUUCAGGCUGAUAAAUGAGAUCGGGAACCCCAACAAAAGAAAAACAAUAAACAAAGCGAAUUCUACUGUGAAUCUGCAACAAAAAUAAACAAAAAAAUUAGAGUAAUUAAUAAGGGACAGGAAAAGGUGAGAGGAUCAAGCAAAAGCUUUGUGCCAGCAAUGGAGCAGAGGAGAGGCCUCUCUCUCAAGAAUCAGUAAAAGAAUGCUUUGCGCGGGAGGAUCAAGCGAAUGCUUUGCGCGCGGAUGAGGGCAG